GUCACAACUGUACACGAAAGGAACGUCAAUGCCGGGCAAUGUUUAUUUAGGAAAUAUACUUUCGCAUGCGAACUGUAAAGUAAUAAAUAUUUCUUGUGCUUUUUGGUUAAUUUUUUCCCCAAAAAAUUACCUGUAUAUUUAUACUAAAACUGACAAUUUCGUGGAUUAUCGGUGAAUAUUCACCGACAGGAAAUUAAUAAUUGUUAAAUAUCACAAUUUCAUAAAUAAUAGGUAUUUUUUCACUAUUUCAAUGGUAAUAUUUGAAUCCUCAUUCAUAUCAAUAUAUCAGCAUAAAAUAUGAAAUAAAUAUCAAAUCAACUAACCGAACAUAAUACAUUCUUUAGAACACAAAAUAUUUUCAUAGACAGGGUGUACCAAAAAACGCAAACCAUUGAAAGUAGCCUAUUGUUCGAAUUUAAAUUCGUAGCACGGAAUGAAACCCACGAGUGAUGCAUAAAUUAUUGACAAAAUAUUCUGUUUUAGAACUUCGCUCGUGUACUUUGAAGAUAUUUCAAUUUCUUACAGUCGAUUUCAGGUCACUUUUCAAAGCACAUUUCCCAAGUUUGUUUGGAAUAUUCCCAAUUAUAUUACCAAAUUUGGAAUGUUGCGUGAGAACUUACAAAGCCAGAUUUGCAUGUCGGUGAAUUCAGUACUGAAGUUUCCAACUAAAGUACUGAAACACUGAACUAAAGUACUGAAAUACUAAACUAAAGUACUGAAGUACUAAACUAAAGUACUGAAAUACUGAACUAAAGUACUGAAAUACUAAACUAAAGUACUGAAGUACUAAACUUAAGUACUGAAGUACUGAACUAAAGUACUGAAGUACUAAACUAAAGUACUGAACUAAAGUACUGAAG